rnacentral:rRNA from 1 species
GUUAGGCGGAAUCACUGGGCUUAAAGCGUGUGUAGGCGGGGCCGUAAGUGGCGUGUGAAAUCCCACGGCUCAACCGUGGAACUGCUGGGCAUACUGCGGGUCUUGGGCCAACUAGGGGCAGCCGGAACAAGCGGUGGAGCGGUGAAAUGCGUAGAUAUCGCUUGGAACGCCGAAGGUGAAAACAGGCUGCUGGGGUUGCGCCGACGCUGAGACACGAAAGCCAGGGGAGCAAACGGG